ensembl:lncRNA
GUCAGCCUUGGGUACUUAGCAAGCUCAAGGCCAGCCUGGGUUACCUGGGAUACUCUUUCUUUUAUCAAACACCCCUACCACCAGGGACUCACACUAUAAGCGUGGCCUUGACCUUGAACUUCUUAUCAUCCCGCCUCUACCACCCAGCCUUUGGCAUUAUAGGUCUGUGCCCACCACGUGAGUGUGGUGCUGUGGAUUGGACGUGGAGGUUCUUUGUCAGGGUUGGACAAACGUUUGAAGACACCCAGAGACUCUGCCCACCGUGUGGCCUGUGGCUUGAGCCACUGCGAUAUGCAAAUAUGGGGUGGAGAGAUAGGAGAGGAAGAGAAGAGGAACCGUUUGAGCACCGUGAAGAGAGGCAGAUCUGGAGACUUGGGGGUAGAGAGGAACACCAUCUGUCAAAUGGCACAUGACAACAUCUGGCCAGACGUGCAUCAAUGUCUUCAACACACAACCUAGGCAUGAUCAAGGGAUGUCCCAUGUUUGUACAACAAAAUCGCUCAACAAUGCACUCCUAAGGCACUCUGGGGACGAAAUGACACCAGCCUGUUCUUCGAUCUCUUUUAUGAUAUUUCCAGCUGUGGUGUCUCUUGCUGUGUUCACACCCUCAACACCAGCCCCACAGCAUCUAAUCCCUCUCUAACUUGGGCAAGAGCCUUACUACUAUUGUUCACUCUUACUAACCCAAAUAAUUGUUUCCAUCUCUAUAAUUAUUUAUUUAUCGGCCUUUUGGGACAAGGUCUCGCUCCAUAGCCCUGACUGGCUUGGAACUUGCUGCGUAGAACACAC